rnacentral:rRNA from 1 species
UACAGAGGGGGCAAGCGUUGUUCGGAAUUACUGGGCGUAAAGGGCGCGUAGGCGGCCCGCUAAGUCGAACGUGAAAUCCCCGAGCUCAACUCGGGAACUGCGUCCGAUACUGGCGGGCUUGAAUCCGGGAGAGGGAUGCGGAAUUCCAGGUGUAGCGGUGAAAUGCGUAGAUAUCGGGAGGAACACCAGCGGCGAAGGCGGGCAUCUGGGCUAACACUGACGCUGAGGCGCGAAAGCUAGGGGAGCAAACAGG